rnacentral:rRNA from 1 species
AAAUAGAACUUUGCAGAGAGAGUUAACAGGGCGUGAAACCGUUAAUUGGCAAACGAAUCGGAGCCACGAAGUCGUUUCGCUGAUUAGUUGGGCCAAGUUCAGUCCAAGAUCGCAAGAUUUUGGGUGUAUUCUUGUAGUCCAACCUAACAUUGUAAACGUACACUGCAACCAGUUAGACGAUUGGCGAUGGGCCCAGCUGGUUGGGGAGCAAUCCCCGGCUAGCGCAGCUAUUGUCCGUUUGAGCCAGCAGCAGCUUGGUGCGCCUCGGCGUAUUCGAGUUGUUGGGCGCAGGCGGGAGAACUAUCGCCAAACACUGACUGGCAAAAUAAAAAUCACUCGCAGAGUGUUUGAAUAGAACGCGGCCGUCCACAUGGGUGUCCACAUGCUUGACCGUUUGGCUUAAGCUCAGCAUUUUUAAAUUCAAACUUGCUUGCUACCAGUGGGGCAACUCCUGGUGCUUGUAUUGCUUUGUCUAAUUGGGUGUUGACUUGGUUAGGCGUCGUUCGAGCAUGCAACGAUCGGGCGCCUAUGUGAGGUGGUUCGCAAUCAUUGGCAGUGAGUAGGUCGGCUUUCCGAACGA